CUAAACCAGGACUAAACCAGGUCUAAACCAGGUCUAAACCAGGACUAAACCAGGUCUAAACCAGGUCUAAACCAGGACUAAACCAGGUCUAAACCAGGACUAAACCAGGACUAAACCAGGACUGAACCAGGACUAAACCAGGUCUAAACCAGGUCUAAACCAGGACUAAACCAGGUCUAAACCAGGACUAAACCAGGUCUAAACCAGGACUAAACCAGGUCUAAACCAGGACUAAACCAGGACUAAACCAGGUCUAAAUCAAGUCUAAACCAGGACUAAACCAGGACUAAACCAGGACUAAACCUGGACUAAACCAGGACUAAACCUGGACUAAACCAGGACUAAACCAGGACUAAACCAGGUCUAAACCAGGACUAAACCAGGUCUAAACCAGGUCUAAACCAGGUCUAAACCAGGACUAAAUCAAGA
ensembl:lncRNA